rnacentral:rRNA from 1 species
ACGUUAUAAGUAGACAUGAGGGGACAUUA